AGCAGCCGCGGUAAUUCCAGCUCCAAUAGCGUAUAUUAAAGUUGUUGCAGUUAAAAGCUCGUAGUUGAACCUUAGGCCCGUGCGGGCGGUCCGUCCUCUGGGCGAGCACUGCCUCGUCGCGGGUCUCACCUUCUGGCGAGCGCGGAUGCCAUUUAUUUGGUGUCCGCGGGAACCAGGACCUUUACCUUGAAAAAUUGAGUGCUCAAAGCGGGCUCCGACGCUUGAAUACAUUAGCAUGGAAUAAUGAAAUAGGACGAUGGUUCUAUUUUGUUGGUUUCCGGGACCGUCGUAAUGAUUAAUAGGGAUAGUUGGGGGCAUUCGUAUUCAAUUGUCAGAGGUGAAAUUCUUGGAUUUAUUGAAGACGAACUACUGCGAAAGCAUCUGCCAAGGAUGUUUUC
rnacentral:rRNA from 1 species